rnacentral:tRNA from 11 species
GCCUUCUUGGCUCAGUUGGCAGAGCGUCUGCCUAGUAAGCAGAAGGUCACCAGUUCAAUUCUGGUAGAAGGCA